CGUAGCGAAAGUUACGCUAAUACCGCAUACGAUCUACGGAUGAAAGCGGGGGAUCGCAAGACCUCGCGCGAUUGGAGCGGCCGAUAUCAGGUUAGGUAGUUGGUGGGGUAAAGGCUCACCAAGCCAACGAUCUGUAGCUGGUCUGAGAGGACGACCAGCCACACUGGGACUGAGACACGGUCCAGACUCCUACGGGAGGCAGCAGUGGGGAAUUUUGGACAAUGGACGCAAGUCUGAUCCAGCCAUUCCGCGUGCAGGACGAAGGCCUUCGGGUUGUAAACUGCUUUUGUACGGAACGAAAAGGCUCUGGUUAAUACCUGGGGCUCAUGACGGUACCGUAAGAAUAAGCACCGGCUAACUACGUGCCAGCAGCCGCGGUAAUACGUAGGGUGCAAGCGUUAAUCGGAAUUACUGGGCGUAAAGCGUGCGCAGGCGGUUAUAUAAGACAGAUGUGAAAUCCCCGGGCUCAACCUGGGAACUGCAUUUGUGACUGUAUAGCUAGAGUACGGUAGAGGGGGAUGGAAUUCCGCGUGUAGCAGUGAAAUGCGUAGAUAUGCGGAGGAACACCGAUGGCGAAGGCAAUCCCCUGGACCUGUACUGACGCUCAUGCACGAAAGCGUGGGGAGCAAACAGGAUUAGAUACCCUGGUAGUCCACGCCCUAAACGAUGUCAACUGGUUGUUGGGUCUUCACUGACUCAGUAACGAAG
rnacentral:rRNA from 1 species